UGGGGAAUAUUGGACAAUGGGCGCAAGCCUGAUCCAGCCAUGCCGCGUGAGUGAUGAAGGCCCUAGGGUUGUAAAGCUCUUUCACCGGUGAAGAUAAUGACGGUAACCGGAGAAGAAGCCCCGGCUAACUUCGUGCCAGCAGCCGCGGUAAUACGAAGGGGGCUAGCGUUGUUCGGAUUUACUGGGCGUAAAGCGCACGUAGGCGGACUUUUAAGUCAGGGGUGAAAUCCCGGGGAUCAACCCCGGAACUGCCUUUGAUACUGGAAGUCUUGAGGAUGGUAGAGGUGAGUGGAAUUCCGAGUGUAUGAGUGAAAUUCGUAGAUAUUCGGAGGAACACCAGUGGCGAAGGCGGCUCACUGGACCAUUACUGACGCUGAGGUGCGAAAGCGUGGGGAGCAAACGGG
rnacentral:rRNA from 1 species